rnacentral:tRNA from 1 species
GGGUCGUUAGCUCAGCCGGUAGAGCAUCUGACUUUUAAUCAGGUGGUCAUGCGUUCGAAUCGCAUACGACCCA